UACGGUCAAAUCACGUUAAAAUCCCCGGUUCGCAUUUGACCAGCGAAGUUAAGCAGUGUCAUGCUCGGUCAGUACUUAGAUGGAGUACCUCUUUGGAAUGCUGG